CCAGGCUUGAACUGCGAGGGACAAACUCCGAAGGGGGUCUUCCGCAAGGACUCUCGUAGAGGUGCUGCAUGGCUGUCGUCAGCUCGUGUCGUGAGAUGUUGGGUUAAGUCCCGCAGCGAGCGCAACCCUUGUCCUCUGUUGCCAUCACGUUAUGGUGGGCACUCUGAGGAGACUGCCGGUGAUAAACCGGAGGAAGGUGGGGAUGACGUCAAGUCAGCAUGGCCUUUAUGUCUGGGGCUACACACGUGUUACAAUGGCCGGUACAAAGCGUCGCAAACUCGCGAGGGGGAGCUAAUCGCAGAAAGCCGGUCUCAGUUCGGAUUGUAGGCUGCAACUCGCCUGCAUGAAGUCGGAAUCGCUAGUAAUCGCGGAUCAGCAUGCCG
rnacentral:rRNA from 1 species